rnacentral:rRNA from 1 species
GGGGAAUCUUCCGCAAUGGGCGAAAGCCUGACGGAGCAAUACCGCGUGGGGGAGGAAGGCUCUUGGGUCGUAAACCUCUUUUCUCAGGGAAGAAUAAAUGACGGUACCUGAGGAAUCAGCAUCGGCUAACUCCGUGCCAGCAGCCGCGGUAAUACGGAGGAUGCAAGCGUUAUCCGGAAUGAUUGGGCGUAAAGCGUCCGCAGGUGGCAAUACAAGUCUGCUGUCAAAGGUCAAGGCUCAACUUUGGACAGGCAGUGGAAACUGUAUAGCUAGAGUAUGGUGGGGGCAGAGGGAAUUCCCAGUGUAGCGGUGAAAUGCGUAGAGAUUGGGAAGAACACCAGUGGCGAAAGCGCUCUGCUAGGCCAAAACUGACACUCAGGGACGAAAGCUAGGGGAGCGAAUGGGAUUAGAUACCCCAGU